GGGGUGAUGGCGUAGUUGGGAGCGCGUUUGACUGAAGUUUGAUUCUCAAAGAGGAUCCUGAUGCCAUCAAGAGGUCGCUGGUUCGAUCCCGGCUCAUCCCA
rfam:Aspergillus cristatus strain GZAAS20.1005 Scaffold_Scf_2, whole genome shotgun sequence.